rnacentral:siRNA from 1 species
GGGACACACAGGUCGUUCA